GCAUUUACGCAUGAACUGUUUUACCAAAGCUUCCCAAAUUUUAAUAUGUUGUUACUGAUGACAAAAUAGAAGUCAAGUUCAAUAAUGACGAUUUUGACUUUUACCGUUCAGGAGUUAUGGUUCUUGAAAGAUUGAAAAAUGGUGUUUCCAGUCGUGUCCAUGCAUUUUCUCAUGAACCAUUCAACCAAAGCUUUUGAAAUUUUUAUAUGUUGUUACUGAUGGCAAAUUAGAGGUCAAGUUCAAGAAUGAUGAUUUUGACUUUUACCGUUCAGGAG
rnacentral:lncRNA from 1 species